AAAGCUCUAGAGGUGUUGCAGGUGUGGCUACUAUGUCACACGUGUGUCAGUAGGUAGCAGAGAGGAGAGAGGCUAUGUCUACACUCAGUGUUCUGACCUGUGAACAUCAGAAUGAUUAGUAGUGGGAACAGG